AAUAAGUGCAGUUUUGCGCUGUUUAUAUUCAAUGUUAUAAUAAAAAAUUUUAUAGUUAGUACUUUUGUUGUUAUUAGAUGAUAAAAUAUGAAUAGUAUUUUAUGUGUGACUAAUUUUUUAAAUUUUUUUAUAAAUUUUUCAAAUAAGACGAAUGGUUAAAUGUUGGACACGGAUAUCCAUGACUGCACUUAUU
rnacentral:pre_miRNA from 1 species